GUCCCUCUGAGCUUCUCCUUGGCCACAUCUGCAGAAAGUAAGUCAUCUUUCUAGUUUCUUUUCGGCCCCCAGGGCACCCAGAGAGCAGGGUCCACCACGGCCAGACGAGGCUGCCCUCGACUUCACAGAGAUCCACCAGCCUCUGCCUCCCUGAGUGCUGAGACUACAGGCACGCACCUACUUUGUUCUAUUUUGUUUUGGAAGAAUCUUACGUGGUAUAGAACUGGACAUCCUCCUGCAUCAGCCUCCCCAGUGCUAGGAUUUACAGGUUAUUGUCGAACGCCAGACUGGUCACUAAGGCGAUCCUCUACAUGAUGACUCUGGCUUCACCACGGGAAAGUCGUCGUGAAAAACACGUCUGCGUCCUGCUCACAGGCAUUGACAACGGGCUCGUCCAUUGCACAUUCUACAGGAAUCCCCCCACGAGUUUCUUUCGGGACUCAAUAACUACGUAAUUGUAUCUCUCCUAGAGUCUAUAUCAUCCUCUUCCCCCUCUCCAGCCACUAAGAGCCUCGGAGCUAAGUUUAGUAAAGGUGAGAGGUUUGGAGCUGUUGAGGUGGCUCAGUAGGUAAAGGUGCUUGAGUGACUAAUCCUCAGGGGCCGACCAGGUGAGAGAACUGACUCUCACAGUUGCCCUCUGACCUCCACAAGCACCUCAUGGCACGUGCUCAUGGGUGAACCAAUAAAUAAACAAAUGCAAUAAAAAUAUUUUUAAAAUGUAA